GACGAACUGUCCUAACGUUGUUCGGAAUCACUGGGCUUAAAGGGCGCGUAGGCGGUCGAUCAAGUCAGGGGUGAAAUCCUGCAGCUUAACUGGGGAACUGCGUCUGAUACUGGAUGGCUUGGAUUUGGGAGAGGGAUGCGGAAUUCCAGGUGUAGCGGUGAAAUGCGUAGAUAUCUGGAGGAACACCGGUGGCGAAGGCGGCAUCCUGGACCAACAUUGACGCUGAGGAGCGAAAGCCAGGGGAGCAAACGGG
rnacentral:rRNA from 1 species